ACCAUGGAUCAAAGGAGAAAUCAAAAGGAAAUUAUUUUGAGCUGAUUGAAAAGUGCAGUGUGACCAUCAAUCUUGGUGUGACACCAUUCGAGCGACAGGAAGCAACUGUACUAGGAAACCAAGGGAGGCGCGGUGGCUCGGGCCUGGGACCUCACCCUCCGGGAGCCUGGGCAGCCAAGGGAGAGAAGCAGCUCAGCCCAGUGUGCAGCAUCUGUGAACGCCAGCUAAGCUCGUGCUUAGGGGUGGGCGAAGUGGUGCCCCUCUCUCAAAUAGGAAUAACCGUUCCUGGGGGUUCUAGGCAGUGCAACAAACAAAAGCCAAGCAGGAAAGGAGUAAAACUUACCUUCUUUGCAGGUGUUGUGGCUGACGGUGCGGUAAAUACGAUGUUACACGAGCGGUAUCUGACCUGUGAGAUGAACCGAGCCGGGCUGCAGCCUGCAAUGUUGAUAGCAAGGGAUGACGGGGUGCACCACCAGGCCGGCCUGCAUAUCUACCAAGUGCUGUGGCAUUUCUUGGCAAAGGAGGAGGAGAACUCAAGCACGGAUUCAAGAGAUUCAGGGAGGCAGCCAGAGCACAAACCCGCCCAAGGCCAAGCGUCCCCUCCCGGUGAUGCCCGUCCGGGUAAGUGAAGAGCAUGGUCGGGGGCAUUUUGUUGGCAUGCACUGUGCUUUUGCCCGAGAAGGUGGG